UACGUAGGGAGCAAGCGUUGUCCGGAAUCAUUGGGCGUAAAGCGCGCGUAGGUGGCCCCGUAAGUCCGCUGUGAAAGUCAAAGGCUCGACCUUUGAAAGCCGGUGGAUACUGUGGGACUAGAGUACGGAAGAGGCGAGUGGAAUUCCUGGUGUAGCGGUGGAAUGCGCAGAUAUCAGGAGGAACACCAAUAGCGAAGGCAGCUCGCUGGGACGUUACUGACACUGAGGCGCGAAAGCGUGGGGAGCGAACAGG
rnacentral:rRNA from 1 species